rnacentral:rRNA from 1 species
GGACUACCGGGGUUUCUAAUCCUGUUUGCUCCCCAUGCUUUCGCGCCUCAGCGUCAGUAUGAAUCCAGUAAGUCGCCUUCGCCACUGGUGUUCUUUCCGAUAUCUACGCAUUUCACCGCUACACCGGAAAUUCCACUUACCUCUAUUCUACUCAAGCUUCGCAGUCUUAAAUGCAGUUCCCAAGUUAAGCUCGGGGAUUUCACAUCUAACUUACCAAACCGCCUACGCGCCCUUUACGCCCAGUAAUUCCGAUUAACGCUCGCACCCUCUGUAUUACCGCGGCUGCUGGCAC